AUGAGAAACCAUGAGCAGAUCUCGGGGCUCCCAAGUGCUUACUUUGCCCCUGGCCUAUGCGAAGUUCCAGCCCCGGCCUCUGCGCUGACCGGCUGGGCCACUCUUCUGAGCCUCAUGCCCAUGCGUGUCCAGCGCGUGUCUCCACCAGGGGAGCUGUCACUGUUGUGUAGAUCUGAUGCGAGAUAUGUUAUUGUUGAUACUGCGGGGAGUGUGCUUGUUCUGGUCCUGACAGCACGGCCACCGAGGCGGAUGCACAAGACCCAGGCAUGGAGCAGCAUUGGCCGAGGGUGCUGGCUCCAAGAAGGCAGGGAGCCCGCAUGUGCUGGAAGCUUCACCAUCUCACGGCACCUGCCACGAUCCGGAUCGUGGAGAGCCAGGGGACCAAGCUGUACACCCCAGGUGACUCAGAAACCCUCCGUCUUUCUAUGCAAUCUGCCCACUUACUGUUGCAUGUCGGCGUUACACAACACUUUUGGUUCAUGAAAUUAAUGUGAUUUUCAAUAAGAUGCCGUAUCCCACAUUAAAUAUUUUCGAGAAUGGUAGGAAGAGAAACAUGCACCAAAUCACUGAAUAACGUGAAAGACAGUAAGAUUUCAAGGGCUGAGUUGUAAUGAAUGAAUGAAUGGAAACGUUUAUCACGUGCCCACAGUUUAUUUUCCAGAUUGUGUGCCCAUUUUUCUCGGCUACCUCAUUUUACAGUUCCUGGGGUUUCUUGUUAUGUUAUUGAUUCUCAGUAUAUAUAAUCUUGUCCACACAUCUUCAUUUCCAAACUAGGUUAAAAUCCCCAUUAGGACAUAGAUAGUGGUCUCUGUCUCUCUUCAUUCCGAACUCCAAUAAAAAAAUAUACAAAAAAAUCCUUUUUUUAAAA
rnacentral:lncRNA from 12 species